rnacentral:rRNA from 2 species
UAAAAAGCUCGUAGUUGGAUCUGUGUCUCGGACGGUCGGUUCGCCGCUCGCGGUGUAGACUGACCGGUCCGGACGUCAUGCCGGUGGGGCCCUCGGCGCAAGUCGGGGGCUCCGUAAUUAACCCUCCGCGCUGCUCUUAACCGAGUGGUUCGGUGGGCCGGCACGUUUACUUUGAACAAAUUUGAGUGCUCAAAGCAGGCCUUAUGUUGCCUGAAAACUGUGUGCAUGGAAUAAUGGAAUAGGACCUCGGUUCUAUUUUGUUGGCUUUCUGAACCUGAGGUAAUGAUUAACAGGGACAGACGGGGGCAUUCGUAUUGCGACGUUAGAGGUGAAAUUCUUGGAUCGUCGCAAGACGGACCGAUGCGAAAGCGUUUGCCAAGAAUGUUUUCGCUAAUCAAGAACGAAAGUUAGAGGUUCGAAGGCGAUUAGAUACCGCCCUAGUUCUAACCAUAAACGAUGUCAGCCAGCGAUGCGCCGAUGUUCCUCCGAUGACACGGCGCGCAACUUCCGGGAAACCAAAGCUUUUGGGUUCCGGGG